AAAAUUCAAAAUCCAUUUCGCACAUGAAUAAAAACGAAAAUAAAAAAAAAUCAAUUCAAUGUCAGCGGAUUAUUCUCAUAUUACAUUGUAAAAACAAUCCAAACUAAACAAAUUUAAAGUUCGCAUUACAUUAACUUGGAUCAGCUAAGGUCUCUUAAUCUACUGUACGGUUGAAAUUGAAUAUGACGACCUAAGAUUCAAAUUAGCCGCGCACAUGCCUGGCCUACAUGUGUGUGAGAUCCCUGGUGUUCAGCUCUGGAGGCUUGUCGACAGCUCUGUAGAGUGUCGGGACAGGUCUGAGUCACGUUGGCGCCAAAUAGACGCAAAA
rnacentral:lncRNA from 1 species